GACGAACGCUGGCGGCGUGCUUAACACAUGCAAGUCGAACGGAAAGGCCCUGCUUUUGUGUGGUGCUCGAGUGGCGAACGGGUGAGUAACACGUGAGUAACCUGCCCUUGACUUUGGGAUAACUUCAGGAAACUGGGGCUAAUACCGGAUAGGAGCUCCUGCUGCAUGGUGGGGGUUGGAAAGUUUCGGCGGUUGGGGAUGGACUCGCGGCUUAUCAGCUUGUUGGUGGGGUAGUGGCUUACCAAGGCUUUGACGGGUAGCCGGCCUGAGAGGGUGACCGGCCACAUUGGGACUGAGAUACGGCCCAGACUGCUACGGGAGGCAGCAGUGGGGAAUAUUGCACAAUGGGCGGAAGCCUGAUGCAGCAACGCCGCGUGCGGGAUGACGGCCUUCGGGUUGUAAACCGCUUUCGCCUGUGACGAAGCGUGAGUGACGGUAAUGGGUAAAGAAGCACCGGCUAACUACGUG
rnacentral:rRNA from 1 species